CUCAUCCCCACCACUUCCACCAUUUCCUCAUGCCUCAUCAUUUCAUUGAAACUUCAAUUCUUAAAAUCAUAUCCCACCUUCACAACAACAAAACCAGUACACUCUACUAAAAAAAUGUUCCCACGUAAGGCAUAAUUGCCUAGAUUCAUGCUAGUGUCCAUUGUAUCUCACUCUCUCUCUAGGGAGGAAACAGUGUGGGACACUACAAAUCAGUGAAAAAAAAUCACUUUACAUAAAGCUCAAAAGGGAAGAUUUUGCACCUGAUAUGAAAGGCAAAAAGGGAUUGACAUCUGGAGAGAGAAAUGGAUUGCUUAGUUUGGCAUCUUAGAUUGGCAAGAGACAUCCAAUAAGAAACUCUUUGAUUUGAGAGGAUCAGAUGUUUUGCUGUGGAAAAAGAAUGCCAUGUGUUGGUUGAAAAAGAAAGGAACCGUUAAUUGCUCAAGGUUUGUUAGGUGCCUUACAUAUUGGUGUAUCUUUAUAGCUGGACUCUCUGCCUAAGCAUUCCUCCUCUUUUGUUCUCUUUAAACUUCGUUCGUGUUCCUAAAAGAGGGCCGGACACGCAUUUGGAUUGUCAUAUGAAUCUUGAUUUAUGCUUCUGUCUGACUUUCUGACUGUGUAUGGAGAAGGUUGAAUCUUGAAGGCAAAAUAAUCAAGAUGAGACGACGAUGAAGGAAACCAUUUUCAUGAGGGUAUUGUUCUGCAAGAUCCACUGUUCAUUGAUGUGCUUCUGCAAGCCCUCUGCUGCUCAUCUCUACACUUCAAAGCCAUUGAAACUGGAAAGUGCUCCACAUGUCGCUCCUUCGACAGUUUAUGCUAAGGAAGAACAGUGUGUUGAAGUGAAGCGUGAAGCUGCUGUGGUAAAAAGCUGCGUACGGAAGUCCUGUCUUCGUCCCAACUCCACCAGAGAAGUUGGGAAGAAAAAAGUGCAGUGGAUGGACCACCUGGGGAAGGAACUUGCUGAGAUCAGGGAAUUUGAAUCAAGUGAGUCUGGAGAUACUGAUAACGAAGAUGAAAGCAGCCGUUGUCUCUGUGUCAUUCUCUGAGACUGCUGCUACCUGUCUCUGACUUGACUAUACACAGUGGGAUGUUACGGCUCUUAAAUAGAGCAGAGGUGAUCAAUCUGUUUCAUUGGCUUCAUUUUUGCGUUAUUCGACUGCUGAUAUCCGCUUCUAAUCCAGCCAAUCUGUCUGCGGAUUGUACAUCAUCAAUUCUUUGUAACAAAGAUGAAAUCCUACAUCAGUGGCUUCAGCAAACUCCCUUAGAGCAUUGUUGUUACAUUCAAUUUACUAUGCUUGUAUACAAUUUGUAUCAUUGCAAACUCAGAAGUGAUAUAGAGCAUUGAAACAAAGUGUAAAAGUAGACAUUUCUACUAGUUUUAGUUGCUGCACCUUUUAAUCUCAGUCAUUUCUUGUUGAAUCCGAACAUUGAUUUAAUGGAGUUGAUAGCAUUCUCAUU